GUACUUACUCCUACGGGAGGCAGCAGUGGGGAAUAUUGCACAAUGGGCGGAAGCCUGAUGCAGCGACGCCGCGUGAGGGAUGACGGCCUUCGGGUUGUAAACCUCUUUCAGUAGGGAAGAAGCGAGAGUGACGGUACCUGCAGAAGAAGCGCCGGCUAACUACGUGCCAGCAGCCGCGGUAAUACGUAGGGCGCAAGCGUUGUCCGGAAUUAUUGGGCGUAAAGAGCUCGUAGGCGGUUUGUCGCGUCUGCUGUGAAAGCCCGGGGCUCAACCCCGGGUCUGCAGUGGGUACGGGCAGACUAGAGUGCAGUAGGGGAGACUGGAAUUCCUGGUGUAGCGGUGAAAUGCGCAGCUAUCAGGAGGAACACCGAUGGCGAAGGCAGGUCUCUGGGCUGUUACUGACGCUGAGGAGCGAAAGCAUGGGGAGCAAACAGGAUUAGAAACCCCGGUAGUCCAGGCAU
rnacentral:rRNA from 1 species